UUCCAUGUACAUGUAAAUAUAAUGUCGUUUAAAACGCAUUUUGUAGCCCAAUUGGGCACAUUCCAGUCCGUGAUGUCCCUUUUAUAUAAGCCGGUGUGUUUCUCUCAGGGGAAGUUUCAUGAACUUUGGGUCGGAGCAGCAUGACAGACCAGGUUCGCUCAUCUGGAAGUUUGACAGUAGAAUCCCUGUUCAUCUUUGGUGACUGCUAGCUCCAGUUGCUCAUGCAUUGACAUUUUGUAUAUUGUUGAGUUGCUAGAUGAAAAGAAAUUGAAGGACUCUUUGGAGGAAUUCUCCAACCCAUAUUGACGCUUUCUCUGGAUCUUUGAUAAGCGGAGUCAUUCAGCACUGCAUUUGGCACCCCCGGACCUGAAGCAAUUUUCUGUAGGUCUCUCUCAAAGAUGGCUAUCUAAGUAGGAGAACUCCAACUGCGUAUUUUAUGCAAUAAAGCACUCAUUGUGCAGUGUUAAAAAUGUUCCAAACACGCGUGCUUGUUGCUCGAAACGUGUUCAAAAUAUGACACAGCCAAUGCGCGUAAUGCAAGUUGACGCUCAAAAUGAUGAUGCACGUGGCUGGUCUGUAGUAAAUGACGUCAUUUGAGAGAGACCUAUACAAGGAUUAUAGCCUGAAAUUAAUGUUAUUGUAGAACUCUCAUUAUACUACAAGAGAGCCAAUUUAUUGAACUCCCCUCAUAAGUACGUGUCAGAGGUUUGGAAUCUCAGUUGCUUUUAAUGUGUAAAGAAAAUAAUAUUUCCCACUUUAACAGAGCUAAAGAUUCAAUGAAGAUUUUCAGUGAAAGUGUUGACUGUUGACACAUUUGCUUUGAAAAAAAUUAGGCUACGUACUGGUACUAAAUAAAAAUCUAUCCGACUUAUUCUUAGCCAUCAGAGAGAUAAGAAUUUUAAAGAAUGUAUCAUUUCUUUGUAUCCAAAUGUGUGGCUAAUUAAUGAGUUUUAUUCAAAGUCAGACAUGAAUGCUUUACUUUGCAAUAACACAACUUUUGUUUUUGUGCUGCCAUUCUAGGUGUUCCUGAAGAGAAAGUAAGUGCUCCUUUCCCAGAAAACGAUUCAAUCAGAACUCCAACCAAGAGAAAGAUGACAGAGGGAGAAAAAAUAACAUUCGCAAAAGAGGAGCAUAAGCAGCACACUCAUAUACAAAAUAUUGUAUAGUACUUAUGAAACCAAGACAAAAUGCCAUGGGUGAAAACAAUGUAAUUUUAACAGGUAAGUUGUCCUGGCUUGACAAAGAGCGUCUGGAAGAGUUUUGGUUGCAUCCAUCUCGGCUGCGUCCGCCCAAUGAGGAGGAUGAUCCAUGUGCUCGUGUUCGAUGUGUGUUGUGCGUUUACCAGUUGCGUAUCCAGUAAGCAUACUCUGUAAAUAAAUGUGUGCAUAUUUAUUUCUCUGGACACUUGACGGACAUAGAGAGCACACAGCAGUUUUAGGAGUAGAAAAAAAAUCAAGUCGCAAUCAAAUUUGGAUUAAUUUAGGCGCAUAGUACACAUUUUACGAAAUAAACAUUUGCAACGUGCUUGCCAAAACCUCCGAAGCAUGCAUUUAUUACCUAAUAAUAUAAAAUUGAUUUUCACGCAACACAGUGCGCGCUGCGCCUUUACACAUGCCGCUUUAAUUUUCGGCCUAAUUAUGGUUUAUGGCUAGUUUUUACAAUACAGUUCACCACCAAGAGCUUGCCCGGCAAAGACCAUUUUUACAGUGCAUCCCAGGAAGUAUGACUACCUGCACAAUUGACAUAGUAUUGUUUAGUCCAGUCAUCCCCCCCC
rnacentral:lncRNA from 1 species